rnacentral:sRNA from 1 species
CGGGCAUGAAUGCCUGGAGGGUGAGAUCCCCCGAUGGGGUUCGAGCCGAGCGAAGCGAGACAACGGAGCGUAGCGACGGCCCGAAGGGCAAGGCGAAGCCGGGUAAUCCAUCCAGGCGCGCCA